ACUGAAGGCUCAGUUGAUUGGCUUUUUUUUAAGCAAUAAAGUCUUUUUAAAUAAAGGUACAUACUUUUUUUAGACAGUGCUAUUGUACACUUAAUAGAUUACAGUGUAGUGUAAACAUAUCUUCUGUGUGACUUGCUUUUGUGGAUUGUCUGGAAAUGAGCCCACAAUCUCUCUGAGGUGUAGCUGUAUACCAUAUAAUCCAGCACCUCCACUUCGGGGUGUAUAUUCAUAGAAAUGAAAUCACUCUCCUGAAGAGAUAACUACACUCUUGUGUUCAUUAAGGCAUUAUUUACAAUAGGCAAAACAUGGUAAGAACCUAAGUAUCCAUCGGUGGAUAAAGACAGACACAGUAAUAUUAUUCAUCCAUAAAAAUGAAGGAAAUUCUGGAGUUAUCCUAGAAGCUGUGCCCCAACAGGAUCGGCAGCAUCUCUGUAGCACCAGGAUGCAGGUUCAGUUCCUGGCCCGGCACAGUGGGUUGCAGGAUCUGGUGUUGCUGCAGCUUAGACAUAGGUUGCAACUUAGGCUUGGAUCCCUGGCUGGGGAACUCCAUAUGCCAUGAGGUAGCCAAAAUAGAAGAAAAAGAAGAAGGAAAUUCUGCCAUUGGCGAUGACUGGAUAGAACCUUCAGUGAAAUAAGUCAGAGGAAGGCGAAUACUGUAAUCUCACAUGUAAAUCUUUACAAAAAGCAGACUUCUAGAAAUAGCAGGUUGGUGGUUGCCAGGGGCAGGGAGUCGGGCAAUUGGGUGAAGGUGGUCAGAAGGUACAAAUUCCAGCUAUGAGAAAAACGUGUUAUGGGAAUGUAAGAUAAAACUGUGUUGUAUAUUCGAAAGUUGGUAAGAGGUGGUAGGUAUUAACUAUAGCAAUUGUAGUUAACUGUAGGAAAUUAUAAUAAUUUCGCUAUGUGUGUAUCAGAUGUUGUGAACCUUAAAUUUAUAGUGUUACAAGUUGGCUUAUAUCUCAAAAUGUGAAAAACCAAUUACAGUUAAACAGUAUAAUUAGUAAAAUGUUAUCUGGCUAAGCAAUUUGCAUAGUGUUGGGACAUUGUAAGAGUAAGCAGUUUUCACCAUUCUUAAAAUGAUAAAACAUAGUUCAGAGAAGUAGAAGCAAAGAUAUGUAAAUAAGGUGAUAAGGUCUGUCUGCUUUUGCCUUUUCCCCCAUGUAGAGAAGAAUGGGAAAACAGGGCUGGUGAGAGGUGUAGAUCUGAGCCAUCCGUAACCAGAUAGUAAAAUCACUGUUUUACUUGUUCCUGUAAGUUAGAUCUCUGUUUUGUAGAGACCUACGUUCUUAGUCCUAAGAACUUACAUAUAUGCAGAAUAUCAAAUAGUGUAAAACAGAAGUCAUUGUGGAUGUUUUAGAAGCAGAGAGACCUAGGGCCCUUUAUUCAGCACUGAGAGUAACUAAGACAUGAAGAACCCUGAGAAAUGAAAACUCAGAAAGGUUUCCCCAAUCAGAUCAUGAUGGACCAGUUGAUUUUGAAGCCUGACCUGAAUUUCAUGGGCUGGCAUUUCCUAAUUCCUGUAAUCACCUCCACCUCCUCCCUUCUUCAUGUGACCCAGUGCGGCUGCUGUGGUGCGGGUUCGAUCCCUGUCCUGAGAACUUCUGCAUACUGCAGUUGGUGACAAAGUUCCUGCUGAUAUAAGAUUAACGUCCAUCAAAUCUACUACUCUAAGAGUUGACCAGUCAAUUCUCACAGGUGAGUCUGUCUCUGUCAUCAAGCACACCGACCCUGUCCCUGACCCACGGGCUGUCAACCAAGAUAAGAAGAACAUGCUCUUUUCUGGUACAAACAUAGCAGCUGGCAAAGCCAUGGGAGUGGUGGUGGCAACUGGAGUUAACACUGAAAUUGGCAAGAUCCGGGAUGAAAUGGUAGCAACGGAACAGGAGAGAACACCCCUCCAGCAGAAACUAGAUGAGUUUGGGGAACAGCUUUCCAAAGUCAUCUCCCUUAUUUGCAUUGCAGUCUGGAUCAUAAACAUUGGGCACUUCAAUGACCCGGUUCAUGGAGGCUCCUGGAUCAGAGGUGCUAUUUAUUACUUUAAAAUUGCAGUGGCCCUGGCUGUAGCAGCCAUUCCUGAAGGCCUGCCUGCUGUCAUUACCACCUGCCUGGCUCUUGGAACUCGUAGAAUGGCAAAGAAAAAUGCCAUUGUUCGAAGUCUCCCUUCUGUGGAAACCCUUGGUUGCACUUCCGUUAUCUGCUCAGACAAGACUGGUACACUUACAACAAACCAGAUGUCAGUCUGCAGGAUGUUCAUUCUGGACAAAGUUGAAGGUGAUACUUGUUCCCUGAAUGAGUUUACCAUAACUGGAUCAACAUAUGCUCCUAUUGGAGAAGUCCAUAAAGAUGAUAAACCAGUAAAGUGUCAUCAAUAUGAUGGUCUUGUGGAAUUGGCAACAAUUUGUGCUCUCUGUAAUGACUCUGCUUUGGAUUACAAUGAGGCAAAGGGUGUGUAUGAAAAAGUUGGAGAAGCUACAGAGACUGCUCUCACUUGCCUGGUAGAGAAGAUGAAUGUCUUUGAUACUGAGUUAAAGGGUCUUUCUAAAAUAGAACGAGCAAAUGCCUGCAACUCGGUCAUUAAACAAUUGAUGAAAAAGGAAUUUACUCUAGAGUUUUCACGUGAUAGAAAAUCAAUGUCAGUUUAUUGUACACCAAACAAACCAAGCCGGACAUCGAUGAGCAAAAUGUUUGUGAAGGGUGCUCCCGAAGGUGUCAUUGACAGGUGUACCCACAUUCGAGUUGGAAGUACUAAAGUCCCCAUGACUCCUGGCGUCAAACAGAAGAUCAUGUCUGUCAUUCGGGAAUGGGGCAGUGGCAGCGACACACUGCGAUGCCUGGCUCUGGCCACUCAUGACAACCCGAUGAGAAGAGAAGAAAUGAACCUUGAGGAUUCUGCCAACUUUAUUAAAUACGAGACCAAUCUGACUUUCGUUGGCUGUGUGGGCAUGCUGGACCCUCCAAGAAUCGAAGUGGCCUCCUCUGUGAAGCUGUGCCGGCAGGCAGGCAUCCGGGUCAUUAUGAUCACAGGCGACAACAAGGGUACCGCUGUGGCCAUCUGCCGUCGCAUUGGCAUCUUUGGGCAGGACGAGGAUGUGACGUCAAAGGCUUUUACAGGUCGGGAGUUUGAUGAGCUCAAUCCUUCAGCCCAGAGAGAAGCCUGCCUGAAUGCCCGCUGUUUCGCUCGAGUUGAACCUUCCCACAAGUCUAAAAUUGUAGAAUUUCUUCAGUCUUUUGAUGAGAUUACAGCUAUGACUGGGGACGGUGUGAAUGAUGCUCCUGCUCUGAAGAAGUCUGAGAUCGGCAUUGCCAUGGGCUCUGGCACCGCGGUGGCUAAAACUGCCUCCGAGAUGGUCCUGGCUGAUGACAACUUCUCCACCAUUGUGGCUGCUGUGGAGGAGGGACGGGCAAUAUACAACAACAUGAAGCAGUUCAUUCGCUACCUCAUCUCGUCCAACGUGGGAGAAGUUGUCUGUAUUUUCCUGACAGCAGCCCUUGGAUUUCCUGAGGCUUUAAUUCCUGUCCAGCUGCUCUGGGUCAAUCUGGUGACAGAUGGCCUGCCUGCCACUGCACUGGGGUUCAAUCCUCCUGAUCUGGACAUUAUGAACAAACCACCCCGGAACCCAAAGGAACCACUGAUCAGUGGGUGGCUCUUUUUCCGCUACCUGGCUAUUGGCUGUUACGUUGGUGCUGCUACUGUGGGUGCUGCUGCGUGGUGGUUCAUUGCUGCCGAUGGUGGUCCAAGAGUGACCUUCUACCAGCUGAGUCAUUUCCUACAGUGUAAAGAGGACAACCCAGACUUUGAGGGAGUGGAUUGUGCAGUCUUUGAAUCCCCUUACCCAAUGACAAUGGCGCUGUCUGUUCUAGUCACCAUAGAGAUGUGUAACGCCCUCAACAGUUUGUCGGAAAACCAGUCCCUGCUAAGGAUGCCACCUUGGGAGAACAUUUGGCUCGUGGGCUCCAUCUGCCUGUCCAUGUCACUCCACUUCCUAAUCCUCUAUGUGGAACCCCUGCCACUUAUCUUCCAGAUCACACCGCUGAAUUUGACCCAGUGGCUGAUGGUGCUGAAAAUCUCCUUGCCUGUGAUUCUAAUGGAUGAGACCCUCAAGUUUGUGGCCCGCAACUACCUGGAACCUGGUAAAGAGUGUGUGCAGCCUGCCACCAAAUCCUGCUCGUUCUCGGCAUGUACCGAUGGGAUUUCCUGGCCCUUUGUGCUGCUCAUAAUGCCGCUGGUGAUCUGGGUCUAUAGCACAGACACUAACUUUAGUGAUAUGUUCUGGUCUUGACUGACAGUUUUACAUAAAGAUGUUUAACUUAAUCAAUUAAUUUUUUUAUUGUUUAAAGCAACUGUCUAUUUCUGCUGAAUUUUCACAUGAACAUAUUGGCUGGUAAAGGAGGUUUCAUACUCUAGAUUUUGUUUUGCUUUUUCUGACUCCAGUGGGGCAAGAUUUUCCUUUUUUAUACACAUAAUUAAAGUGUCCAUUGACAUGUACAGAGAACUAACACUAUUUUAUGCAAAUAUUUUUUUGUAGAUGAAAAAGCAUGUACAGUGUUCUGUUUAAUACUCAUCCUUGUAUAAAAAAAAAAAGAGUUGAGCCAGCAGACAUUGUCAGCAAAUUAAUUGGCAGCAGAUUUUAGGAAAUGAAUGUGUGUGGUUUUUUCUAAGACUAAAUAGCAUGUAUUGUGUCUUCUGCAUGAUCAUCUGGAUUUAAUCUGAGAUCACAGUCUAAUUUUUAUUCAUAAGCCAAUUUUUCUGCACUGAGCAGAGUACUGCUACCUCAGUCAGUAUUUUUUGGUUUGCCACCCCCCCGUCACCCUUCUCAGCCCUUGUCACCUCCACCCCAUCCUCCACCCCCGCCCUGCUCGGCUGCUUCUCCUGUAGGGUUUUGAUGGUUCUGUUUACAUCAGUCUUAACAAGAGGUAUGCCUGUUCUCGCUUGUGCAGAAAACAUUGUUCCAGAUUCAAUCAACUGGGUUCGUGUCCCCUCAUGUAGUUUUUAAGGUUAUUUAUUUAAAUGUCUAAUGUAUUUUAUUGUAACAGACAUUGUUUUGCCAACAUUGCCUAUUUCAGUGGCACUUCACAAUCUAGUUUAAAAAGGAAAAUAAACAUUUUAAAUGGACAGAGAAAAAUAACUGUCUUGUUUUUAACUCUUAUGUGGCUUAGUUUGAACUAAUAUGUCCAACUUUCUCUUAAGUUCUUAGCUCAGAAAUUUUAGUUUUAUUGUGCUUGAGGGGAAGAAGGAUCCUGUUCUGCUGCAUAGGGAGCUGUAGGGAUUUUAUUUUUAAUGUAUAGGCACCAGUUGUCAUCUGUGAUACAUUUUAUGCAAGUUUCUGCUGGCCUGUUUUUAAAGCCUAUGUAGAGGACAUAAGGGCAAGUGUGUGUGCGUGUGUGUGUGUGUGUGUGUGUUUUGUAAAAUCUGUAAAUAGCACAUGACCAAAUGAACAUAUUGUAUAGAACUAUUUUUAUUUGAAUGUGGCACUAACCACCACCAUCAUUACUAUGAUAAAUGUUUGUGCAUGUUCGAGAUCAGUCUUACCAACAGUGUAUAAGUCAUUAACAGUCCUAACUGUGGUGUUUUCCUCCAAUGCCUUCCAACAUCCAUCAACUAACCAAUACUGGAGUAACCGCUUCCUAAACCAUUUUGCAGAAAUAUAAGGGUGUUCGGUUGCGUGCAUGUGCGUUUUUAGCAACACAUCUACCAGCCCUCUGCAUGAUUGAUGUUGGGGGUAAAAGAAAAUUAGAAAAAAGUCCCCAAUUCAUUGUGUGUUACGUGGAGGAAACGUGUAUUACCAGUGGGGUUUUUUAGCUUUUAAAUCAAAAUAAUAAUUACAAAUGUACAAUUUAGCUUAAUGGAUCAGAAAUCCUCUCCAGAGAAGUUUGGUUUCUUUGCUGCAAGAAGAAUGAGGUUCUGAAACCUUACCCAAGAACUUAGAAGCCAUCAGCCAAGUAUCCAUGUUUCUCUGUGCAAAAUGUCAUAGCUUAAAUAAAUGUACAAUAUUCAAUUGUAAUGCAUGCCUUCAAGUUGUAAGUAGCCAGAUUUCUCUAUGAUGUCAUUGAAACAUGCUACUUUUUAAUUGGCCCUGUACAGUUUGCUUAUUUAUAAAUUUAUUGAAAACACUACAGGUGUUGGUUAAAAUGUAGGCUUCUAGCUCAUAACUUCAGUUAUUUUUUGAGUGUGCAAACAGCUAUUUUGCACUGUAUUAAAUGUAACUUAUUUAAUGAAAUCAAAAGCAGUAGACAGAUGUUGGUGCAAUACGAAUAUUGUGAUGCAUUUAUAUUAAUAAAAUGCUAAACGUCAAUUUAUCACAACGCAUGUUUGACUUUAGACUGUAAAUAGAGAUCAGUUUAUUUCUGUGCUGGUAAAAAGUAUUGCACAGACAUGGUUUCAGGUAAAUAAAUCUAUUCUAUGAUAA